AUCUUCCUAAGAGAGGAUGACACGAGUUUUAAUAAAAGUUAGUUAUGUAUUUGAUAAGUUGAGAAUGAGUCCCACAAAAAGUGAAAUUAUAAGAGUGAUAAUUAGUGAAAGUGGAGAACGAGUCCCAUAAAAGUGAAAUUGUAAGAAUAAUAAUUAGUGAAAUUGUUUCCAAAAAUAUAUUAGGAAGAUGUUUUGGGGACGAACCGAAAUAGAAAAAAAAAGAAAAAAAAAAGGAAAAUGUUUGAGGGACAGAGAGAGUAAAUAUUAUCGAUAUACGAUUAACAGCAGAUGCAACACAUCAAUCGUACAUCAUAUCUACUUUAAAUUUACAUAUUUUUUUCUUCUAAAAUCUUCAAUCCGACAUCAACUUUAUAUAAACUUCAUCAAAUGAAUAUUUAUAUAAAAAUGUAUUUCUAUUAUCAC
rnacentral:lncRNA from 1 species